GCCCGGCGUCACAUUUGAAAAUGUAUGUAUGCUGGCACAUUGAAUCCGAACGGGAGACCGGAGAAUAUCAAAUAAAAACACGCCAACUUAACUAAACUUUACAUUACCCACGGACUAAGAAAAAGACAGAAAUUAAAUAAAUGAGCUAAUCAAAUCGAGUUUUCGGAACAGAUAGUCCGCAUAAAAGUGAUAGACCGUUUCCCCGAACAUUUACUUAAACAGGACAUCAGUAAACGAUGUCCAUCUGCAGGCACUUCACCAAAACGGCUAAAAUACUUCAAGUUGAAAUUCUCGAAAGCAAUAACAACAAUAACAGUAAAAAAAA